rnacentral:rRNA from 1 species
UACGUAGGGCGCAAGCGUUAUCCGGAAUUAUUGGGCGUAAAGAGCGUGUAGGCGGCCCGAUUAGUCCGCUGUGAAAGUCCAGGGCUCAACCCUGGAAUGCCGGUGGAUACUGUCGGGCUAGAGUCCGGAAGGGGCGAGUGGAAUUCCUGGUGUAGCGGUGAAAUGCGUAGAUAUCAGGAGGAACACCGGUGGUGUAGACGGCUUUCUGGACCGUAACUGACGCUGAGACACGAAAGCGUGGGUAGCAAACAGG